AGGGCGGCCUGCCUUCCAGAGGGCCUUGGGACUGGAUCGAAAGAUAUAUCUACUAGAAACAAUGGUAAGUACUUAAAUGUUUGCGUUACUUUAUAUGAUUGUCAUAAAAAACAGUAGCAGAUGUGGAUGACGGGAGGGAGGUAGAGAGCUGGGCAGCAUGGGCAAUAUCGACUUUAGUCUUUCUAUCUUUUUUCAGAAGAGACGUCGUCGACUAGCUCUGAUCGAUCAGAUGUCGGUUUCUCUCAACCAGACCCCAGCGAUAUUGGAAGUUGUUCUCCACGGGCGGGUCUCAGCGACGAAGCCAGUCAAAACCAAAGGACUAUCUCCGAAGAAGGCGGGUCUGGUAGGCUCAGCCAUUGGCCCUCCUCUUCAACGAUCGGUAGUGGAGGAAAACGAAAACAAGCGAAUACAGGAACAAACGACACCUGCAGGAAAAAGCAAGCCCGUCGUGAGGGAUUCUCCCAUCCAAACAGUUCUCCACAGCCAGGACCCAGCGGUUAUAACCCGG